GAAAUGCGAUAAGUAAUGUGAAUUGCAGAAUUCAGUGAAUCAUCGAAUCUUUGAACGCACAUUGCGCCCCCCAGUAUUCUGGAGGGCAUGCCUGUUCGAGCGUCAUUUCAACCAUCAAGCCCCGGGCUUGUGUUGGGGACCUGCGGCUGCCGCAGGCCCCGAAAUGCAGUGGCGGGCUCGCUGUCCACACCGAGCGUAGUAGCAUUACACCUCGCUCAGGGCGUGCGGCGUGUUCCGGCCGUUAAACCCCCUUAACUUCUAAGGUUGACCUCGGAUCAGGUAGGAGUACCCGCUGAACUUAA
rnacentral:misc_RNA from 1 species